rnacentral:rRNA from 1 species
GAAUGCUGACAUAAGUAACGAUAAAGCGGGUGAAAAGCCCGCUCGCCGGAAGACCAAGGGUUCCUGUCCAACGUUAAUCGGGGCAGGGUGAGUCGACCCCUAAGGCGAGGCCGAAAGGCGUAGUCGAUGGGAAACAGGUUAAUAUUCCUGUACUUGGUGUUACUGCGAAGGGGGGACGGAGAAGGCUAUGUUGGCCGGGCGACGGUUGUCCCGGUUUAAGCGUGUAGGCUGAUUUUCCAGGCAAAUCCGGAGAAUCAAGGCUGAGGCGUGAUGACGAGGCACUACGGUGCUGAAGCAACAAAUGCCCUGCUUCCAGGAAAAGCCUCUAAGCAUCAGGUAACAUCAAAUCGUACCCCAAACCGACACAGGUGGUCAGGUAGAGAAUACCAAGGCGCUUGAGAGAACUCGGGUGAAGGAACUAGGCAAAAUGGUGCCGUAACUUCGGGAGAAGGCACGCUGAUAUGUAGGUGAAGCGACCUGCUCGUGGAGCUGAAAUCAGUCGAAGAUACCAGCUGGCUGCAACUGUUUAUUAAAAACACAGCACUGUGCAAACACGAAAGUGGACGUAUACGGUGUGACGCCUGCCCGGUGCCGGAAGGUUAAUUGAUGGGGUCAGCCGCAAGGCGAAGCUCUUGAUCGAAGCCCCGGUAAACGGCGGCCGUAACUAUAACGGUCCUAAGGUAGCGAAAUUCCUUGUCGGGUAAGUUCCGACCUGCACGAAUGGCGUAAUGAUGGCCAGGCUGUCUCCACCCGAGACUCAGUGAAAUUGAACUCGCUGUGAAGAUGCAGUGUACCCGCGGCAAGACGGAAAGACCCCGUGAACCUUUACUAUAGCUUGACACUGAACAUUGAGCCUUGAUGUGUAGGAUAGGUGGGAGGCUUUGAAGUGUGGACGCCAGUCUGCAUGGAGCCGACCUUGAAAUACCACCCUUUAAUGUUUGAUGUUCUAACGUGGACCCGUGAUCCGGGUUGCGGACAGUGUCUGGUGGGUAGUUUGACUGGGGCGGUCUCCUCCUAAAGAGUAACGGAGGAGCACGAAGGUUGGCUAAUCCUGGUCGGACAUCAGGAGGUUAGUGCAAUGGCAUAAGCCAGCUUGACUGCGAGCGUGACGGCGCGAGCAGGUGCGAAAGCAGGUCAUAGUGAUCCGGUGGUUCUGAAUGGAAGGGCCAUCGCUCAACGGAUAAAAGGUACUCCGGGGAUAACAGGCUGAUACCGCCCAAGAGUUCAUAUCGACGGCGGUGUUUGGCACCUCGAUGUCGGCUCAUCACAUCCUGGGGCUGAAGUAGGUCCCAAGGGUAUGGCUGUUCGCCAUUUAAAGUGGUACGCGAGCUGGGUUUAGAACGUCGUGAGACAGUUCGGUCCCUAUCUGCCGUGGGCGCUGGAGAACUGAGGGGGGCUGCUCCUAGUACGAGAGGACCGGAGUGG